UAGGGAAUCUUCCGCAAUGGGCGAAAGCCUGACGGAGCAACGCCGCGUGAGUGAUGAAGGUCUUCGGAUCGUAAAACUCUGUUAUUAGGGAAGAACAUAUGUGUAAGUAACUGUGCACAUCUUGACGGUACCUAAUCAGAAAGCCACGGCUAACUACGUGCCAGCAGCCGCGGUAAUACGUAGGUGGCAAGCGUUAUCCGGAAUUAUUGGGCGUAAAGCGCGCGUAGGCGGUUUUUUAAGUCUGAUGUGAAAGCCCACGGCUCAACCGUGGAGGGUCAUUGGAAACUGGAAAACUUGAGUGCAGAAGAGGAAAGUGGAAUUCCAUGUGUAGCGGUGAAAUGCGCAGAGAUACGGAGGAACACCAGUGGCGAAGGCGACUUUCUGGUCUGUAACUGACGCUGAUGUGCGAAAGCGUGGGGAUCAAACAGGAUUAGAUACCCUGGUAGUCCACGCCGUAAACGAUGAGUGCUAAGUGUUAGGGGGUUUCCGCCCCUUAGUGCUGCAGCUAACGCAUUAAGCACUCCGCCUGGGGAGUACGACCGCAAGGUUG
rnacentral:rRNA from 1 species